GCUUAACCGAAGAAGUGCAUCGGAAACUGGGUGACUUGAGUGCAGAAGAGGACAGUGGAACUCCAUGGGUAGCGGUGGAAUGCGUAGAUAUAUGGAAGAACACCAGUGGCGAAGGCGGCUGUCUGGUCUGCAACUGACGCUGAGGCUCGAAAGCAUGGGUAGCGAACAGGAUUAGAUACCCUGGUAGUCCAUGCCGUAAACGAUGAGUGCUAGGUGUUGGAGGGUUUCCGCCCUUCAGUGCCGGAGCUAACGCAUUAAGCACUCCGCCUGGGGAGUACGACCGCAAGGUUGAAACUCAAAGGAAUUGACGGGGGCCCGCACAAGCGGUGGAGCAUGUGGUUUAAUUCGAAGCUACGCGAAGAACCUUACCAGGUCUUGACAUCUUGCGCUAACCUAAGAGAUUAGGCGUUCCCUUCGGGGACGCAAUGACAGGUGGUGCAUGGUCGUCGUCAGCUCGUGUCGUGAGAUGUUGGGUUAAGUCCCGCAACGAGCGCAACCCUUGUUACUAGUUGCCAGCAUUCAGUUGGGCACUCUAGUGAGACUGCCGGUGACAAACCGGAGGAAGGUGGGGAUGACGUCAGAUCAUCAUGCCCCUUAUGACCUGGGCUACACACGUGCUACAAUGGUCGGUACAACG
rnacentral:rRNA from 1 species